rnacentral:rRNA from 1 species
GAGUAGGGCGGGACACGUGGUAUCCUGUCUGAAUAUGGGGGGACCAUCCUCCAAGGCUAAAUACUCCUGACUGACCGAUAGUGAACCAGUACCGUGAGGGAAAGGCGAAAAGAACCCCGGCGAGGGGAGUGAAAAAGAACCUGAAACCGUGUACGUACAAGCAGUGGGAGCACGCUUAGGCGUGUGACUGCGUACCUUUUGUAUAAUGGGUCAGCGACUUAUAUUCUGUAGCAAGGUUAACCGAAUAGGGGAGCCGAAGGGAAACCGAGUCUUAACUGGGCGUUAAGUUGCAGGGUAUAGACCCGAAACCCGGUGAUCUAGCCAUGGGCAGGUUGAAGGUUGGGUAACACUAACUGGAGGACCGAACCGACUAAUGUUGAAAAAUUAGCGGAUGACUUGUGGCUGGGGGUGAAAGGCCAAUCAAACCGGGAGAUAGCUGGUUCUCCCCGAAAGCUAUUUAGGUAGCGCCUCGUGAAUUCAUCUCCGGGGGUAGAGCACUGUUUCGGCAAGGGGGUCAUCCCGACUUACCAACCCGAUGCAAACUGCGAAUACCGGAGAAUGUUAUCACGGGAGACACACGGCGGGUGCUAACGUCCGUCGUGAAGAGGGAAACAACCCAGACCGCCAGCUAAGGUCCCAAAGUCAUGGUUAAGUGGGAAACGAUGUGGGAAGGCCCAGACAGCCAGGAUGUUGGCUUAGAAGCAGCCAUCAUUUAAAGAAAGCGUAAUAGCUCACUGGUCGAGUCGGCCUGCGCGGAAGAUGUAACGGGGCUAAACCAUGCACCGAAGCUGCGGCAGCGACGCUUAUGCGUUGUUGGGUAGGGGAGCGUUCUGUAAGCCUGUGAAGGUGUACUGUGAGGUAUGCUGGAGGUAUCAGAAGUGCGAAUGCUGACAUAAGUAACGAUAAAGCGGGUGAAAAGCCCGCUCGCCGGAAGACCAAGGGUUCCUGUCCAACGUUAAUCGGGGCAGGGUGAGUCGACCCCUAAGGCGAGGCCGAAAGGCGUAGUCGAUGGGAAACAGGUUAAUAUUCCUGUACUUGGUGUUACUGCGAAGGGGGGACGGAGAAGGCUAUGUUGGCCGGGCGACGGUUGUCCCGGUUUAAGCGUGUAGGCUGGUUUUCCAGGCAAAUCCGGAAAAUCAAGGCCGAGGCGUGAUGACGAGGCACUACGGUGCUGAAGCAACAAAUGCCCUGCUUCCAGGAAAAGCCUCUAAGCAUCAGGUAACAUCAAAUCGUACCCCAAACCGACACAGGUGGUCAGGUAGAGAAUACCAAGGCGCUUGAGAGAACUCGGGUGAAGGAACUAGGCAAAAUGGUGCCGUAACUUCGGGAGAAGGCACGCUGAUACGUAGGUGAAGCGACUUGCUCGUGGAGCUGAAAUCAGUCGAAGAUACCAGCUGGCUGCAACUGUUUAUUAAAAACACAGCACUGUGCAAACACGAAAGUGGACGUAUACGGUGUGACGCCUGCCCGGUGCCGGAAGGUUAAUUGAUGGGGUUAGCGCAAGCGAAGCUCUUGAUCGAAGCCCCGGUAAACGGCGGCCGUAACUAUAACGGUCCUAAGGUAGCGAAAUUCCUUGUCGGGUAAGUUCCGACCUGCACGAAUGGCGUAAUGAUGGCCAGGCUGUCUCCACCCGAGACUCAGUGAAAUUGAACUCGCUGUGAAGAUGCAGUGUACCCGCGGCAAGACGGAAAGACCCCGUGAACCUUUACUAUAGCUUGACACUGAACAUUGAGCCUUGAUGUGUAGGAUAGGUGGGAGGCUUUGAAGUGUGGACGCCAGUCUGCAUGGAGCCGACCUUGAAAUACCACCCUUUAAUGUUUGAUGUUCUAACGUGGACCCGUGAUCCGGGUUGCGGACAGUGUCUGGUGGGUAGUUUGACUGGGGCGGUCUCCUCCUAAAGAGUAACGGAGGAGCACGAAGGUUGGCUAAUCCUGGUCGGACAUCAGGAGGUUAGUGCAAUGGCAUAAGCCAGCUUGACUGCGAGCGUGACGGCGCGAGCAGGUGCGAAAGCAGGUCAUAGUGAUCCGGUGGUUCUGAAUGGAAGGGCCAUCGCUCAACGGAUAAAAGGUACUCCGGGGAUAACAGGCUGAUACCGCCCAAGAGUUCAUAUCGACGGCGGUGUUUGGCACCUCGAUGUCGGCUCAUCACAUCCUGGGGCUGAAGUAGGUCCCAAGGGUAUGGCUGUUCGCCAUUUAAAGUGGUACGCGAGCUGGGUUUAGAACGUCGUGAGACAGUUCGGUCCCUAUCUGCCGUGGGCGCUGGAGAACUGAGGGGGGCUGCUCCUAGUACGAGAGGACCGGAGUGGACGCAUCACUGGUGUUCGGGUUGUCAUGCCAAUGGCACUGCCCGGUAGCUAAAUGCGGAAGAGAUAAGUGCUGAAAGCAUCUAAGCACGAAACUUGCCCCGAGAUGAGUUCUCCCUGACCCUUUAAG